rnacentral:lncRNA from 1 species
CCAGACUCUACACGGCGAGGAAGAUCUGUUAAAGAUUAAAAUUUGGUGAGGGUAAAGAAAGUUAUGACGCAAGGCGGACGGUUCAGUUAACCAUAAAUUUGACACGUGUCGUCCUUGAUCCUGGAUCAAGCGACUGUAAAGAAUCCGGCUUGCAGUAUUUAAAGAAUCAUCCGGUAAUUUCUUCUCCCACAUCUGUCUUUUCACUUUCAGAGUUUUGAGAUCAAAAAAGAGGGACCUGUUAGCGCUUCCACCUAGAAUUCAAUCUCCGCUCCUCAGUUCUUGAUCUGAUCAAGUUUUCCUUUUGAGUAGUUGAGUGAUUUGAAAUCACAUCUUCUAUUAGAAUCAGCGUGCUUUGAAUUCUGGCUUUUGAUCUUCUUGUGUUUAGAUGUACAUGUCGUUUGUUUUUUGUCGUGAUCUGUAGCGAGAUCGAAUAGAUCGGAAUCCUGUUUUCUCUUAUUAAUGUUUUGUAUUUCGGAAAUUGGAAUCUGGAAUCUCGAUGAGUGUUCUUUUUGUGUUCAUCGUCCUUGAUCUUGUGGUGGGUGCUGAAAAUCACACUCAUGUUUGUAAAGUUUGAUGAAUAAGAAAAAUAAAGCUUCACACAAGAAACGAAAAGCACAGAGCAAAAAAUGCAGAAAGGCAAAGUAAAAUGAAGAAUGAAGGUGAAAGAAAACAGCUUGUAUUGAUAGUAGAGGUAAUUGUACAGCAAAAGAUGAUGAUUGAUUCUCCCAGAAUUGCAGUACACCAAAAUAUAUAAAGGACAAAAAACUGCAGACUUGUUCUCCAAAUUGAUUAUGAAUUGGGCAUGUAGAUAUGGACUGGGCCUGCUGCACUGGGCCAACUAGGAUAUGAUCUAUAUUAUUCUUAACAGUGGGAACUUGAAAAGUCAUGGAAAAAUAGGGUUUUGAUCUGUUUUAUCCCUUUUUGUUUCCUGUGUUCGUGUUUAUGUCAUUAUUUGUUUUGAUGACAUGUCGUUCCUGCCUUUUGUUUUGUUUGUUGAUUCUUUUUAGCAGAAAUGUCGUGCGAAAGGGUGACAAGAAAUUUGAUUAGCAAUCUGGAUAAGCCCCUCUUUGUGCCUCCUGUGCGAGAAUGGCCUAUUCCGCUGGGAGUUGAUCUCGAGUUGAGUUUGCGUCCGCCCGGAUCUGUCCCUCAUACCCCUGAGCAUCCUUUGGAUCCCUCUAGGCGUGUCUUUCGUCGUGGUAGAGGUCGAGGUCGGGGUAGGGGCGAUCUCAAGUUUACGCUCGUGUGCGAAAUGAGGUUACGCAUGCAACUGUUGUUAACCACAGAGCCAUUGGUGCGCGGCCUGACCAACCAAAAGGAUGGCUAGAUCGAGCGACCGUUGUUUUUCAGGGUGCUAGAGCUUCAAAUGUUCGUCCCAUCCCUUUAGAGUAGGAUUUAUAUUUUGAGGGGUGGAGAAUUUUUGUUAGCAAUCAUGCGGAAAGCAAUUUUAAUCCAUUAUGAUUGCAUCUUUGUAUUCCUGUUUCGAAAUGCUAAUAAAAGGUAAUAGCUUGUUUUUGCGUUUGCGUUGUACUGUUGUCCCAAAGUCUUCAGGAAAGUGAGUCGUCACUUAAAUUGUAUCAGGGAAAGAGUCCCCCAGUGUCGUGAUCAAUUUGUCAUGUUCUUGUGCCAAGAAUAAUUCUUGAAUUAAAUUUGAAAUUUGCGAGUGUGAU